rnacentral:lncRNA from 1 species
GAAAAUAUUGAUAAUCACAGUAGUUAUCAAUUCUGCCAUUGCUAACAUUCAUGAAGCUUUUCCUCAACAGCCUGCAACUAUUCGUGCACAAAUUCUGUGGAUACGACGGCGUUGGAAGCCAACUUAUAAGGAUGUAAUUGAUGAUAUGGAUGUGUGUAUCAAAAAAUGCAGUGAAACUUGUAAGAAUGACCAAUCAUUGUUGAUAAGAUGCAUUGCUAAAUGCAGUGCAAUAAAAAUGUGCACCGAUAAGUGUAAAGAACAGUUUUCGGGUAACGAGAAAUCAUUGCAGAAAUGUUAUAAGAGAUGUAAUAAGUCCAGCUAGUAAGUGGUGCUUAUAAUUAUUUUAAGAUUUAAGAUUAUAUAUAGUUUCAAGAAUAUUAUAUACAUGAUGAAUAUCAUAUUCGGAUAUUAUAAAUAUUUUGUUUG